GGUUUCAGAGGAAUGGAGAUGGAGACACAGCUCUGCUUCUGACCUCUGCUGUGCCAUAAACAGAAAACUUCAGGAAGGGUUAACCUGAACAGCUGCCCACAGCACUCCACCAGUUUCCCUUCUCCUUAAAGAAAGCACACAUUUCUCCAGCUGUGAGAGAAGACUUUGCCAGGAAAAUCGCCUCUGUCCAGGGAGCUUGGCGAUACAAAAACCACCUCAGUAUUUGCAAACCUACAGUGACAACAAAUGGAUUUCUUGUGUCACCUGGACCCUAAACCAAGUAGCAUCAGCUUUAACAACAUGACUGAAUGUAUAAGCUUGGGAAGUGAAUUUCCAGCCUCAGAAAAUGUUUCUACCUGCUCAACAUUUGUCAUGUUCGCUCUUUGUGGGAGGGUAAUCAGAUUAACAGGUUGUUUCCCAGUGAACUUCUACACUCUAAGGCAGAAAGAAACCUAUGGCAAAAUAAGCUUAUGCUAACAGCACUAUAAAUCCACUGUGAGCUACGCUGGGAGAUGGGCCUUCACUGAGGAGCCAGCUCUUGAAGGAGACGAGGCAGACGAGGAGAAGGCGACAAAUGGAGCAUCCUAAAACUGCCGCAACAGAAGUGGUGGUGGAAUUCCUGAGCCGUUUUCCAGAGAAUCCCACCAUUUUCUGUUCACUCAUCUCUCCUCCCCAUCCUUCCUCUCUGGCAGCCAGGAUGGGCCUGGGAUGUGCUCCUGAUGGAAAGAGGGGCCCCUUCAGUAGAAGUGGAUGAGGUGAUAUGACCUGGCUUUUCCUGGCAGCCUGCUCAGAAGGUGAAGCUGUGGAAAAUGAAGCAUCUCCUUAUCUGGUACAAGGUCAUGCUGUGGGGAUACAGGCAUCUCUUCUGUGUCUUGUCAGCCUCAAAGAUGGGAAGACAUAGUGUGUUGUGGCCUGAUGCUGUUGGGAGGACCGACCCCAAACCAGAUUUUACAAAGACACACUAGCAAGGCUUCCAGGACUGGGAACUUGUGGAUAUGAGCACUGAAAUUGGACAGGAGGCUGGCUGAAAGUGUACCAGAGCUCUACAGGGAUUUCUUGUGCCUUUUCAAGGAAGGAUUUGCUGUGUUCUAGAAUGUGUAAAUAUUGUUCAGGGCUUGUUUUGUUUUGUUUUUUAUCUGAAAUGCUUGCCAAGGAAAUAGAACUGUACAAACAUAAUUAGCCAGAGGCUGAACAUUUAAUCUUAAAUUCUGAGUCUUCAUUAAGUCUUAAUUUAAACCUUAGGAGGGAAGCUUGCAACCAUUCCUGUUCAUAAGAGUGGAUAGCAUUUGUGGCAGGUUUUAAUGGCAGAAGAGGGAAACCACUCCAGUGGGGAAAGCUUGGAAAACUCUCCUGAAGCCAGUAAGUGGUCAAGUGGUUGUGUCAUGGAUAAUGGGACAAGAUCUGGAUUCAAGUCACCUCUUGUGUGGUCAAAGCAGGUCAUGGUGGAUGGGACUUUGGGCAACCUGAUCUGGUGGAAGGUGUCCGUGCUUGUGGGGUUGGGAUCAGACGGGCUUGCAGCUCCCUUCCAGCCCAAACCAUUUUGUGGCUAGGAGUUUAAGAAUGUGGUGUGGGAGAACUGGAGGGCUUGUGGGUUGAAAAAAUGAGUGCUUUCCCUUUGCAUGAGUUACUCAAAUCAGGAUGGCAUUUUAGGGGUAGGGUUUUGGUUUUUUUCCCCACAGGUGAUCUGUCCAUGUGUGAUCUUCCAACAGCACUGUUAUUUUUACCUGAAAAAGGGACAAUUUCUGAAUUUGAAUCAAUUGUAAUCUAUCAAAUAAACUGCUAGUACCUUUUAUUUUUAUCUCAAUUUAUGGAGAAAAAUUUCUACACUAGGCAUGAUAGGGGAAAAAAAAACCUAGAGGGAGAAAAAUUAAAUAAAACAAAUCCUUCUAUUCCCUUCUGCAAGCACUUUUAUGAUCUGGGAAGUUGUGGAGGAAUGUGAAGGUGCUGUGAUUUCUCCUACACUUUCCUUUGCCUUUUUUAAUAAGAGCUAUCAAAUGACAUCUUUGUGAGGAACACGCCAGACCCUCUGCACAUCAAAUAAAGUCCAAAAAGCAGCAGAAUUAAUUCCUGUGACUGUUCAUGCCAAAUCUGUUUUCUUGUUCAGUGUUGUUGGCAGGGGUCAUAAUUUGAAGUAGCCUUCUUUUUUUUCCC